UAUUUAGUUUAUUUUAAAAUUUUGAUUUGUGGUGUCAGGGAUCUUUUUGAGGAUAGGCUGUGUUAU
rnacentral:tRNA from 1 species